AACAUAGUUAAUGUUGUAUAGAAUUCCACUUGUCAUUACUUCCAAGUUUGGGUUCAUGUGUAAUGGGUGAAACAGCACCCCCUCCUGGUGGUUGGCAGUGUUAAAUAUACUGAACACAGAUAUCUCGUUGCCAGUUCAUGAGAGAUGAGCGCGAGGUGCUGUACCCGCUGUGAUGAACCUGAUUCCUGAUCAGUCGUUAUUCUGUUCCAUACAGAUAAAAAUCAUUUCAUCUCA